AGUUUUGUUCUUAGACCACAGAAAGUUUCCUCUACAAUAACCUACACUAAUUCCAAAAAUGUCCCGUAUCCUUGUUGUCAGCUUUUACUUGUUCGCUUUGAUCGUUGCAUUGGAAAGUACCGACGUGUUCCUUCAUGAUGUUACAAACCAUAGAAGGUUUGAACAUGGAACCAAAGAUAAAAAGGCUGUCUUGAUUAUCAAGCGCAAAAUAAUAAAGGAGGCUGGAAACCAAGAUGACGUCAAUAUGAAUAUUCGCGCUGUUCCGUUGAGUGGAUUGAACUACGAUUUUUUUCGUUUAAAUCAAUUCGUGUAAAUCAUUACACGAAUUUGUGAAAACUAGUUAUGAAAAAUAAAUCGCCAUGGAUACAAAC
rnacentral:sRNA from 1 species